rnacentral:rRNA from 1 species
UACGAGGGGUGCAAGCGUUGCUCGGAAUUAUUGGGCGUAAAGGGCUCGUAGGUGGCCAACUAAGUCAGACGUGAAAUCCCUCGGCUUAACCGGGGAACUGCGUCUGAUACUGGAUGGCUUGAGUUUGGGAGAGGGAUGCGGAAUUCCAGGUGUAGCGGUGAAAUGCGUAGAUAUCUGGAGGAACACCGGUGGCGAAGGCGGCAUCCUGGACCAACACUGACACUGAGGAGCGAAAGCCAGGGGAGCAAACGGG